UCGAACGGCAGCGCGGGAGCAAUCCUGGCGGCGAGUGGCGAACGGGUGAGUAAUGUAUCGGAACGUAUCCUGUAAUGGGGGAUAACCAGUCGAAAGAUUGGGUAAUACCGCAUACGCACGAGAGUGGAAAGUGGAGGAUCGCAAGACUUCACGUUAUAGGAGCGGCCGAUAUCUGAUUAGCUAGUUGGUGGGGUAAAGGCCUACCAAGGCGACGAUCAGUAGCUGGUCUGAGAGGACGACCAGCCACACUGGGACUGAGACACGGCCCAGACUCCUACGGGAGGCAGCAGUGGGGAAUUUUGGACAAUGGGCGAAAGCCUGAUCCAGCCAUGCCGCGUGCAGGAAGAAGGCCUUCGGGUUGUAAACUGCUUUAGUCUAGGAAAAAGGGAUGCCUGGUUAAUACCUGGGUGUUUUGAUGGUACUGGAAGAAUAAGCACCGGCUAACUACGUGCCAGCAGCCGCGGUAAUACGUAGGGUGCGAGCGUUAAUCGGAAUUACUGGGCGUAAAGCGUGCGCAGGCGGUCUUGUAAGACAGUCGUGAAAUCCCUGGGCUUAACCUAGGAACUGCGAUUGUGACUGCAAGGCUAGAGUGUGUCAGA
rnacentral:rRNA from 1 species